UUAUAUGGCAACAGAGUCACGAUAAAAUUGGAACGAUACAGAAAAGAUUAGCAUGGUCCCUGCGCAAGGAUGACACGUACAAAUCGAGAAAUGGUCUAAUUUUUU
rnacentral:snRNA from 1 species